GAAAAGAAAAAGAAAUAGAAAACUCAAGCAAAGCACAGAAGAAUACGUUUCAUCAACAUUUCAACCCAUUCCCACAUUUUCUUCACAAACCAACCCAAAUACCCAACAAUGGAGUUUUAACUCCACUCAUGGAUUAUUUUACACAAACAAACUCAACCUCCAUUAAAAAUUCCAAUUCAAACCAAACCCAUCCAAAAAUACAAUUUUCAUCAAAUCAAACCCACCCAUGGAUUCUAACUCCAAAAUGAAUUAUUCUUGCUCAAUCAAACUCAUGUUCAUAUAAAAUUCAUUUCUCACCCCAAAUCACCCAAUAACCCGUUUAAUUCCAUUCAAAUUUCAUCAAUUCAAUUGGGUAAAAUUUGAGCUCAACCAUGGCUAUAAAUAGCCAUGUUCAUUCCCUCAAACCACCAUCCCCUCAUCACUAACAAUUCAUUCAAAAACUCCCCGGAAUCCCCCUACCACGCCGGAAAACACCACCCCAAAACACCCCUCAAAUCCCCUGUUUUUUUUUUUCGCACAACCCCUCCCUUUUACUCCUCUGUUUUCGGACAGCCACCGCAGCCCCACCGCGGCGCCGCCGCAUUCCUGCGCCUCCUGUGCGCCACCAUAGAACCACCUCACCGACGCCUUCUCUCUCCUCUCGCCUACACCCUCACUCGCUCGCCCCUUCUUUCUCCUUCUUCUCUCUCCCUCGCACCUCACCUUCGUCGUCCUCACGCUGCACCACCAGACUUCGUCGCUCGACGGAAGCCGACGAACACCAUCAUUCCACUGCUGUCGGAGCUCUGACCCCACCGCCGGCCAUUCUCCUUCCUCUGCCCUGUUUUCGUGCCUGCUCAAAAUGAGCAGAGAUUAAACGGAAAGGAUAUUACAGCCUCCCCCGGCUUUCAAGGUUAUUAAGCAGGAAUCCAGGUAUGAGCAUAGCCAUUGCAAGUGCGCUGUUAAUAAGGAACAUGUUCAAGGGAAAGUGUGCGGUAUCUGGUGUUGGAAAAAUUAGUAUUAUUUGGGUCGAGUAUUUAUGUAUAGUUAUCAAGGACUAUUUAAGGUUGCAUUGUAUUGGUGGGCCAUAUCCCACAGGCUUAAGUUCCAUUUCCGCUGCUAAAUAUGAGCAAUUGUGUUUGAUUAAGGUUAUGAAUUUUCGGGGCGUUACACUUACAUCCUACUCAAGCAAGAGCAUAUGGGUUUUUCUACAUCAUCCGGAAAAUUGAAGAAUUAAUCCGAAAAAACGACGAAGAUCCAUUUACUUUUUAUCCAUUGCGGAAAUACAGCAGUUGUUUUUCCUACAUGGCUACAAGAGCACUUUAUUACCGGCGUUAACCACUCUGAACCAUUAAAUCCAUACUUAUCUCAACUCAGAGCUGGAAAUUUCUAUCUCAAGAAGGCAAAACACUAUUAUUCAAAUUAUUAGAAAAUUGUCCGAAGGAUCUUCCUGGCAAAAGCUGGGCAUUAAAAAUAAAAAGAUCCCACUAAGUGAAUAUCACUUCGGAAAAAAUAAGGGAUAUAUUUUAGUGAAAGUAUUGGGUCAGACCGUCUGAUCCAAUAUUCUUGUCAGACGGGCUGAGCCCAGUACUAUAAUAUACAGCAACGACGGCGGUCGAAGGAUUCUCCAUCAUUCCCACAUAAAACCCACCACCACCACCACAACCACCACCACAUUACAAAGCCUCAUCCAUCUCCACCGCCACCACCUCAAUUCUCGAUGUGACACUCUUCGCUCUCUUGCCGGGUGGAAUAGCGGCAGCCACCACUGCAACUGGACUGGUAUAUCCUGUGACCCAUCCACAAACAAUGUGAUUGCGAUAUCUUUGACUGAAAAGCAGCUCUAGGGAACAAUCUCGAGUUUUCUUGGUAACCUGUCAAAACUUCAGGUUCUUGAUCUAACCACUAAUGCUUUUGUUGGUCAAAUUCCUGCUGAACUUGGAAAUUGUUUUGAACUCGUAGAACUUACCCUAUUUGAUAAUGCACUCUCUGGCAACAUUCCACCUGAACUAGAAAACCUUCAAAACUUGCAAUCACUAGACUUAGGGAACAACUUCCUCAAUGGAAGCCUUAGGGCUGUAUGAUAAUGAGCUAACGGGCCUGUGCGGAAGAGUGUUUAUAAGGAAUGAAGAAGAAGGAGAAAGUGAGAGAAAGCAGAGGUUAGUUUUCUUUUCAGUUGGAAUUUGUUUUCUUUCAGUUGGACUUUGUUUUCUUUCAGUUGGACUUUUGUUUCUUUCAGUUGGACUUUGUUUUCUUUUAGUUGGACUUUGUGUUCUUUCAGUUGGACUUUGUUUUCUUUCAGUUGAACUUUGUUUUCUUUCAGUUGGACUAACUGAAACAAAAUGAAGACUAUCUGAAGAAAAAUGAAGACUACCUGAAAAAAAAUAAAGACCAACUGAAACCCAAGUAAGUCUAACUGAAGCACAAAAACCAACUGAAAAAAAAGAAGAUUAACUGAAAAAAAAGAA